CUAGGAACGAGUAGAUCUCUUAAGUUCCUACCUCUACGUGCUGUGAUAGAGGGAUAUGUUGUCACUACAUCCUUAAGAUGUUUAUCCGAGGAUAUGAUAGACCAAUAUUUCUUAAAAAUUCCCAUCAUCUUCGCCCAACCCGCAUCAAAGGUUCCUAUGCAUCUUAUCGUGUACCCCUCCUGUUUGGCAGUAUUGUCAUCAAUAAG